UGGGGAAUAUUGGACAAUGGGCGAAAGCCUGAUCCAGCCAUGCCGCGUGUGUGAAGAAGGUCUUCGGAUUGUAAAGCACUUUAAGUUGGGAGGAAGGGCAGUAAGCGAAUACCUUGCUGUUUUGACGUUACCGACAGAAUAAGCACCGGCUAACUAUGUGCCAGCAGACGCGGUAAUACAGAGGGUGCAAGCGUUAAUCGGAAUUACUGGGCGUAAAGCGCGCGUAGGUGGUUCGGUAAGUUGAAUGUGAAAGCCCCGGGCUCAACCUGGGAACUGCAUCCAAAGCUGGCGAGCUAGAGUAGGGCAGAGGGUAGUGGAAUUUCCUGUGUAGCGGUGAAAUGCGUAGAUAUAGGAAGGAACACCAGUGGCGAAGGCGACGACCUUGGCUCAUACUGACACUGAGGUGCGAAAGCGUGGGGAGCAAACAGG
rnacentral:rRNA from 1 species